rnacentral:rRNA from 1 species
GAUGAACGCUAGCUACAGGCUUAACACAUGCAAGUCGGGGGGUAACGAGAGGAAAGCUUGCUUUCCUUGUCGACGACCGGCGCACGGGUGAGUAACGCGUAUCCAACCUGCCCCCAACUAGGGAAUAACCUUGCGAAAGCAAGACUAAUACCCUAUAAGUUCCUCAGAUGUCAUCUGACGAGGAAUAAAGAUUUAUCGGUUGUGGAUGGGGAUGCGUCUGAUUAGCUUGUUGGCGGGGUAACGGCCCACCAAGGCAACGAUCAGUAGGGGUUCUGAGAGGAAGGUCCCCCACAUUGGAACUGAGACACGGUCCAAACUCCUACGGGAGGCAGCAGUGAGGAAUAUUGGUCAAUGGGCGGAAGCCUGAACCAGCCAAGUAGCGUGCAGGAUGACGGCCCUAUGGGUUGUAAACUGCUUUUAUACAGGAAUAAAGUUAGCCACGUGUGGUUAUUUGUAGGUACUGUAUGAAUAAGGACCGGCUAAUUCCGUGCCAGCAGCCGCAGUAA